rnacentral:rRNA from 1 species
AUUGAACGCUGGCGGCAGGCCUAACACAUGCAAGUCGGACGGUAGCACAGAGAGCUUGCUCUUGGGUGACGAGUGGCGGACGGGUGAGUAAUGUCUGGGGAUCUGCCCGAUAGAGGGGGAUAACCACUGGAAACGGUGGCUAAUACCGCAUAACGUCGCAAGACCAAAGAGGGGGACCUUCGGGCCUCUCACCAUCGGAUGAACCCAGAUGGGAGUGGCGAGUAGGCGGGGUAAUGGCCCACCUAGGCGGCGACCCGUAGCUGGUCUGAGGGGAUGGGCAGCGACACUGGAACUGAGACACGGUCAAGACUCCUACGGGAGGCGGCAGUUGGGAAGAUUGCACAAUGGGCGCAAGCCUGAUGCAGCCAUGUCGCGUGUAUGAAGAAGGCCUUCGGGUUGUAAAGUACUUUCAGCGGGGAGAAAGGCGGUGAGGUUAAUAACCUUGACGAGUGACGUUACCCGCAGAAGAAGCACCGGCUAACUCCGUGCCAGCAGCCGCAGUAA